UACCGCGGCAGACCUAGAGGGGAAGGAAGCCGUGGGUUUUACAGCUGGUGUUUUGGUUUAGAAAAAAAGACAGAGAGAAAAGAAUUUCUUAAAAAAUACCUCGCACAUGUAAAAUGCCACUAAAUCCAGGGUACAAGAGACUUGAGUGAAGUUUACGGGGCCUUAUGCAUCCAUGCAGCAACCAUCAGUGACCUGAUCACUGAGAGCAAGUGGAGGCCAGAGGCCCUUCCCCGCUCACGCACCUGUGAAUUACUGGAUUUCUACAGACCCAUGAAGGAAAGGGAAGACCUCUACCUCUUGAAAUGACUGAGAUGGACCUCCAUGCCACCACAGGAGCUUGAAACUUUUCAUUAGGGGAACGAAGUAACUGUGAUUUUUUUGUUGUUGUUGUAUCAAAAGUUGGGAACUAAAAGUCUUAUCAACUACAUGGGAAACCUGGCUGACUCCAUCGGUAGGGUAUGUGACUCUUGAUCUCUGGGUUGUAAGUUCAAGCCCUAUGUUGGGUAUGGAGAUUACUUGGAAGUAUUUUUAAAAAGUCUUAUGAACUACAUUUAUAUCCCUGGUACCUAGCACAGAACUUGGCACAAAGUAGGUGCUCUGUGAGUAUAUAAUGGACGCACGACCAAUUCAGGGGCCUUGUAAGAUCUUCCUUCAGUUGUCACAUAAAAAGCCAACUACUUCUCAUAAGUUCUAUUAUUUUCACAGGCAGGGAGUGGGCUCUUACCGUUUAGAAAAUUACUUGUGCCCAUUAGAAAGCAGAAAUUCUCCCUUCUGCUGCGUGUCACUCCCCUGCUCAAUUCUUCUAGUGGUUUCCUGUCUCACUGUGAACAAAAUCCAAAGUUCUUACGGGGACCCUCACAGAGUCCUACAGCCUCUGGCCCCACUAUCUCUGUG